UAAAAAUGAACAGGGAUGUAGCAGAAAAUUAGGGAAUAAGGGCAGCAGAUGAAAAGAAAAGUUCAAGGAAAGAACAAAAAUUUUCAAACAAUGGUAAGAAAAUGAAAACUCCUAAACGAAUAUUAACUACGUCCUCCGAUGAAGCUUCUCCGCCGAAGAAAACUAAAUCUCCAGUCGAUAUUGACCAAAAAUUGAAUUCUUUAAAAGCUCGUCUACAGGAAAUUAAAGAAAACAGGAUUAACAAAGAUGUUUCACUGGUAUGAAAAAAUAAAAGUAAGCUUAUUGCAAAGGAACGAUAGUUAUUUUUGACGGAACCCUGCCUACCUUGAUGGCUACUAAUAAUUAUGAAAAAAGUUCGGAAAGUCGCAAAUAAAAUAAUGUGUCAGAGGAAAAUUGUCUGGAAUUUUCAAAAAUUAAAAAUAAUUGCAGUCUCCACAAAUCAGUUUUAAAGUAAUUGCAGCCAAUGUUCAAAAUGAGAAUUUGGAGAACUAAAUGCAUCUGAAAAAAAGCUUUCUCAGACUUUGCUUGAACCACUUACUGGUUUCCCCCUUCAUACCGUAGAGAAAUUUCUUAAGUCGGACGCUAAAGAAAAUACAGAUAAACGUCGAAAGCUUGCUUGCACUUUCUUGUUACCGUAUACUCAUUUAUAAAAUCUAGGAGGUUGAAGAAUAAGAGAAUUUCUAAAUUAUGCCACGAGGGAAACAAUGCCAGACGAACUGGUUUGUCCAUUCUCUUGGCUCGGCGGCGAACAUUGCCGAAAGUUUGGCAAUAUGAAAGUCGCGAACGUCUUGUUUCGUAAGUAUUAUUUGAAUCUGAUUUUUGGAAAUUUGGAAAAGCAUUUGCCUAAAGAUUAUUUUUGUAGUCAUAAAUUUUAAUAUUUGGUUGAGAAAUUAAAAUUUUCCUUCUAAAGGCAUAAUUUUUAGUUGAAAAU